rnacentral:rRNA from 1 species
AUUGAACGCUGGCGGCAUGCCUUACACAUGCAAGUCGAACGGCAGCGGACCUUCGGGUGCCGGCGAGUGGCGAACGGGUGAGUAAUAUAUCGGAACGUACCUUUCAGUGGGGGAUAACGUAGCGAAAGUUACGCUAAUACCGCAUAUUCUGUGAGCAGGAAAGCGGGGGAUCGCAAGACCUUGCGCUGAUUGAGCGGCCGAUAUCAGAUUAGCUAGUUGGUGAGGUAAAGGCUCACCAAGGCGACGAUCUGUAGCGGGUCUGAGAGGAUGAUCCGCCACACUGGAACUGAGACACGGUCCAGACUCCUACGGGAGGCAGCAGUGGGGAAUUUUGGACAAUGGGCGCAAGCCUGAUCCAGCCAUGCCGCGUGAGUGAAGAAGGCCUGGUUGUAAAGCUCUUCGGUCCGGAAGGAAAUACGCACAGGUUAAUACCCUAGUGUGGAUGACGGUACCGGAAGUAAGAAG